rnacentral:lncRNA from 1 species
GGCCCCGCUGCCCAGACGUGGAGUCCCCCCCGGCACUGCGCUGAUGGCGCGAGUCGGAGCGGUCCCGGAGCGGCUCCGGAGGCCCCGGCAGGUUCCCAGCCAAGGCUGGGGUCACUGGCAUGUAAAAGGUGAGGUGAGGUUAACUCCUGCCUUCCGGGUCCUGCGCGGCUAGUCCAGACUCAGUAAUUAAGCCCAUUAUAUUCCCCACAGGAUCCAGCUCCCGAGGUUCAGGGAAGUAGGCAGGGCGUGUAGAUUCCACAUCUCUGAGCAAAUUGCAAAUCAUAUAUGCCUGAAGACUCAUGGCUUUCAGCCUUUGGCCUGAGGACUUUACCUUAUCCAUGGACAAGUUUUCAGGGCAUGGAGGCCUGUUGCCUCAACAAGUCAGGUUUGCCAUACAUCCUCCAAAGAUCAAAAAAGAGAGUCCCUGCCUGAAUCUAUGUGUAAGAUGAGUGUCUGAGCACAAGUGGAAAUGAUAAUGGGAAAGUGCAAAGAAGUAGUAAGAAGCUCUUGGUCAGCAUGGUGUCAGUGAUCUUAGCACAGUCAGAGCAACGUGCUGGCAGGUUUUAGAGGCAGCAUGGGCAUUUUGCCUGUGCUUUUAGUUUUGCCUUCCAUUCAGCUCACUUCCUAGUAAAUGGAGUGCUAAUUUAUUUCUAUCUUGUAAUUUCUGUAACUUUUGCAAUAAAAAAAAAUAUGUACCAUAGAUCUCUUUGUUG